ACGGGAGGCAGCAGUGGGGAAUAUUGGGCAAUGGGCGCAAGCCUGACCCAGCGACGCCGCGUGAGUGAAGAAGUAUUUCGGUAUGUAAAGCUCUAUCAGCAGGGAAGAUAAUGACGGUACCUGACUAAGAAGCCCCGGCUAACUACGUGCCAGCAGCCGCGGUAAUACGUAGGGGGCAAGCGUUAUCCGGAUUUACUGGGUGUAAAGGGAGCGUAGACGGCAAAGCAAGUCUGAAGUGAAAGCCCCGGGCUCAACCCGGGAACUGCUUUGGAAACUGUUUAGCUAGAGUGCAGGAGAGGUAAGUGGAAUUCCUAGUGUAGCGGUGAAAUGCGUAGAUAUUAGGAGGAACACCAGUGGCGAAGGCGGCUUACUGGACUGUAACUGACGUUGAGGCUCGAAAGCGUGGGGAGCAAACAGGAUUAGAUACCCUGGUA
rnacentral:rRNA from 1 species